AAAAUAUAAGUUUCGCGGGUCGAGUAAUGGGCCGACCUCUGACUGUAUCGGGUACCCGUUAAAUACCCGGAAUUUUUUUUUUUUUUUUUUUAUAAUUUUAUUAGCUGGAAGUCCUUUAGGGAAUUAGGGUCUUUCCUCUUACUCUCUUAGUAGCCGCACACUAACCCCUCUCCUUUUCUCUCGCCUCUUUCACUAUCAAACACACACUCUCAAACACUCCCAGGCAAUCUCCUUCCUCCUUAUCAGGCGACCUCCGUCAAUGCCUUUCAGGCGACCUCCGUCAAUCCCUUUCAGGCGACCUCCGAUCCGUCAGACCCUCUCGGGCAACCUCAGAUCCGCCGCGCAAGGGAUUAUAGACUUGGCUUUGGAGCAACCAACAAUUAUCAUUGAUGAAACUAUUGAAGCUUCGGAUGUCACAACUCACAAGUGACAGAAUUUAUUCCCUCUCCCACUUAGUUUGAUUUGUGGCUUUGAGAAUAUUGUUUGGACUUUGUAAUUUAUUUGGUUGUUUUGUUUUUAUCUAUUAAAACGGCAGGUUUAAGGCCAUAUUACGACA